rnacentral:misc_RNA from 1 species
AAGUCGUAACAAGGUUUCCGUAGGUGAACCUGCGGAAGGAUCAUUACACUCAGUAGAUUUCUACUGCUCGGGGGGAGCGGAAAGUGCUUUUGCACGAGUACGCUCUCUUUCUGAAACCCUUGUCUUUUUGCGUACUUCUGUUUCCUCGGCGGGUUCGCCCGCCGGCUGGACAACUCAAUAACCUUUUUAAUUUUCAAUCAGCGUCUGAAUAAUUAUAAUAAUUACAACUUUCAACAACGGAUCUCUUGGUUCUG